rnacentral:lncRNA from 1 species
CGGAGGCAAUUGAUAGGCCAAUUUACUUGUAGAAAAUGGCUGUAUCAAGUGGUCUAUAAAGCUUUGACUCUUUUUUCACUUGGAUCAAUGGUGGGAGCACCACCAAUCAUGCUAUAAAAAUAAAAGAAAAAUGAUCCAUGGCUUGCACUUUGAGAAUCCUAAGAUUUGAACAUGGAUCCUCUUGCCAAUGGAAGAAAGCAGGCAUCC